rnacentral:lncRNA from 1 species
CAUUCUCUUCCAUCAGUCACUAUGACUCAGGUCCACCAGGCCAGAGCAUGAAAUCUGGAAUGUGUGUAUGGCACGUCAGCUUCCCCAAAUAACACAGCACACUUCAUCAUCUGAGUGCAAACUAGCUCCAGAAACUCUACCCUGCAAAAGUCACAGGGUGGUGACUACAGACCUGCUAGUCCUCUAGAAGAGUUAUAGAGGCAAGGUGAAUUAAUGCAAGAUGUUGGAGAUUCUCUGGUAGACCAGAUCGUCUACUCUAGGACCUGUUGGGGAGCUGGAAAGAAGAAAUCAAAAGAAGGAAUUCUGGAAGCUUCAGUGAGAUAACCCAAUCACAAAAAGAUAAACAUGAUCCUGAUGGCAAUAACUGUUCAUGACAUUGAACCAGCCAUGGAAGCCUUCUGUGAGUCUGUUUCCCCAGGCUGCAAAUGAGACUGAUGACACCUGCUUCACGUUUAAUAGUGUUUGAUAUGUAUUAGGUAGUCAAUAAAUAAUAG